GUGAAUCACAAAAAAGACAGACGCUUGCAUAAGAGCGGUGGUCGAAUCUAUCCACUCUUCUCCACACAGGCCGUCCUCUAUCUCUCCGGCGGCGCCUUUCUAGUUUCUCCCUCUAUCUGCACAAUUAUUUCUUUUCUUUCAUUCUAAAUAAAGAUUUUAUUCUGAAUGAUAAUCAUCACUGACUACAUUGAUUAAUCAACAAUUUGAGCAGGCCUUAGGGUUGUUAAUGUCAGUUCCUGGAGCUUCAAAUACAGUUCUAGAAUCUGUUGUUCCAUACUCCAGAAUGUCCAUGAUCCAAUUACUCAACAAGAUCCCUGCCCAGUAUUGUAGCCAACAAACUGCCGAUGAAUUGGCCUUGCUUGCUUAUAGUCGCGCGCUGAGCUUUCUUCUCAAGGUUCUCCAGUUCUUGGUGUCGGCUUUACUGGUUCUUUGGCUACCUCCCGUCCAAAACUGGGUAACCAUAGGUUUCACUUGCCAACAAGAACCUCUGAUCGACAUUGGGCAUCUACAGUUACCCUAUCAAAGGAAAUUAACAUUUGAUUAUUUAUUUUUAUGUAAAAAUUUGUUCUUGGGCACUGUAUUUGCAUUUCUCAUAUCUGAUACGGAGUAAUCUAGGGCUUGAGGAGUCGAGAUCAAGAAGAAAAGGUUUCAAGUUACUUCCUACUUAAGGCGAUCGCUAAUGCCUGCAAAGUCCCCCGAUUUGGUUCAGCGUUGACUGAAUCUGAUGUUGCUGAUGAACGUGAAAGUUCUUUGAUGAAGAUCAGGAGUUAGAGCAACUUAUAAAUGGGCAAAUUUGCUUUAAGGUUUAUCUGUUUACAAGCGUAUGGAAACUGCUUUGCUCAGACAGAUAAGUCAAACGGUGAUAGGAAGAUUAUACUCUCUGGAUCCUUUAAUCCGUUACAUGAUGGUCACCUCAAGCUCUUGGAAGUUGCCACCAGCAUUUGUGGUGAUGGAUAUCCUUGCUUUGAAUUAUCUGCCAUUAAUGCUGACAAACCUCCAUUGUCAGUACUACAAAUCAAAGAGCGAGUUAUGCAAUUUAAAAAAUUGGAAAGUCGGUAAUAGUUUGCAAUCAGCCUUAUUUCUAUAAGAAAACUGAACUUUUUCCCGGUAGUGUUUUUGUAAUUGGUGCUGACACCGUAGCGAGGCUUAUUAAUCCUAAAUACUAUGACGGGAGCUAUCAUAGGAUGAUAGAGACACUAUCUGGAUGUAAAAGAACAGGAUGCAUCUUCAUCGUGGCCGGUCGUAAUGUUAAUGAGUAUGCCAAAUGUUCUCGAGGAUUUUGAUGUUCCUGAAGUAUUGAAAGAUAUGUUUGUCCCAAUGCCUGCUGAAAGGUUCCGCAUGGAUGUCUCUUCAACUGAAAUAAGGAAAAGCCGUGGAAUGUAAACACUUCUUUUACACACACAAUAAGAAAACAAUGCAACA